rnacentral:rRNA from 1 species
UACGUAGGGUGCGAGCGUUAAUCGGAAUUACUGGGCGUAAAGCGUGCGCAGGCGGUUUGAUAAGACAGGCGUGAAAUCCCCGAGCUCAACUUGGGAAUGGCGCUUGUGACUGUCAGGCUAGAGUAUGUCAGAGGGGGGUAGAAUUCCACGUGUAGCAGUGAAAUGCGUAGAGAUGUGGAGGAAUACCGAUGGCGAAGGCAGCCCCCUGGGACGUGACUGACGCUCAUGCACGAAAGCGUGGGGAGCAAACAGG